rnacentral:lncRNA from 1 species
UUAAAAUAAUAAAUAAUAAUAUAAUACUUUUAUUCAGCAAGCAUGUUAAAUUGCUAAAUCCUUUAUAUUUCCAUAUUAAAAGUUUAGUGAGUAAUACGAUAAUAAAAGUCUCUUAUGCUCAUUAAGGCUGCAUUUAUUCGAUCAAAACUACCGUAAAAACACUGAGAAAUAUUAUUACUAUUUGAAAUAACGGUUUUCUAUUUUAAUACACUCUGCAAAAUAAUUAAUUCAUGUGAUGGCAAAGCUGAAUUUUAAUCAGCCAUUACUCCAGUCUUCAUUUUCACGUUUCAGAUUUUUUUAUUUAAAAAUAAAUAAAUAAAUAAUAAUAAUACUUUUAUUCAGCAAGCAUGUUAAAUUGCUGUUUAGACUUAAUUGUUUUAAACAUUUUAUCCAUCAAAGAAACCUUUAAAAAGUAUCACAGGUUCCAAAAAAUAUUAAGAAGCACAAUUGUUUUCAACGUUGAUAAUAUUAAAUAAACAAAUAACAUUGGUAAUGUUAAAAUAUAAACCCGUUAUAUUAAAUUGUAAUAAUAUUUAACAAUACGACAGUAUGUUUUACUGUAUUUUGAUCAAAUAAAUGCAGCCAUGUUUAUACAUUUAAUAUUAUUAUUAUUAUUUAACUUUAACUGAGGUGCGUCUCAGAGUAAUGGCGACCUCUAACGGUAGAACAGAUGAAAAGCACCCAGAAGAAAGAGACGAGCGGAAAGAAGGAUAGUUAUUUUAAGAGAACGAACUACACCAAGCGCUGGAAAAGGAUGUGGCUUCAUAUCAGAGACGGACAGCUGGUCUAUAGUUUUAAUGAAAAGCAGAAAAGUCCAUUAAUCUGGUUGGAGCAAAGGUGGAGCUGCUGGAGGGUGAUGAUGGACCCUCGCACCGAAGCACAGCAGCGCAGAAGAGCAGCAGGCCUGGAUGAGCGCUGUAUGUGAGGCACAGCUCCAGUGCAUGUGUUGUGCAUAGACAGUAAAAGAAAUGGACACAGUGACCCCAUUGGAACUCAAUUGAGACAAGUGAAGCCCAUUUUUAGCGAUUUUUAGCACUUCCGUUUCUGACGCGCAGACUCAAACUAAGCUUGAUGACGUCAGCAACCUGUCUGACAGAUGUAAAUCUUCUAGUAGCCGUGCGUGCAAACUGCCAUCGUUAAUCUUGCAGAGACGGCGAGUUUGAGCGGGGAGUUCUUUGGCGUGAGUGAGCAGGAGUAAGUAUUCUGAUUAAUUAUUUUGUAUAGUAUUUUAAAAUGUAACGCCAGUACGCCAUAUCUCUUGACGUCUCCCCGAUUGCCUGCGAGCUUCUCCUCCUGUCUGUACGGUAAUUUCUCUACUGUGCGACAGAGAGUCGAGUGGUUAUGACGCAAUCGUUAAUUCUGAUUAAUUAUUUUGUAUAGUAUUUUAAAAUGUAACGCCAGUACGCCAUAUCUCUUGACGUCUCCCCGAUUGCCUGCGAGCUUCUCCUCCUGUCUGUACGGUAAUUUCUCUACUGUGCGACAGAGAGUCGAGUGGUUAUGACGCAAUCGUUAGCCUAUUUUUACAAAAACUGUUUCUACGGGGCCAUAAUGUAACAUAGAAGGUAAUGGAGCCCUUUAUACAUUGUCGUGUAUCUUUAGAAAUAAAUAAUGGACAAAUGGAGUCUUUAAACGCCUCAGAUGUAAAGUUAUUCUCUGUCAAAGUGACGCAAAAAUGAAUGGGAGUCAAUGGAAUGCUAACGCAAGUGAAGUUCUGCUACAAGAUGGCGGCACGCGGCCGACUUCAACUUCCGGUCGACUUCCUUGCCCCCUGGUGUUGUGCAAUAACAAAACCAUUUUCCUUUUUUUCCACCAUAGUUUUCUACACUGUAUUGUUUUACUUCCUUCUUGAAACUGAGACUGUGACAGUGUUUUG